UACGAAGGGUGCAAGCGUUACUCGGAAUUACUGGGCGUAAAGCGUGCGUAGGUGGUCGUUUAAGUCUGUUGUGAAAGCCCUGGGCUCAACCUGGGAACUGCAGUGGAAACUGGACGACUAGAGUGUGGUAGAGGGUAGCGGAAUUCCUGGUGUAGCAGUGAAAUGCGUAGAGAUCAGGAGGAACAUCCAUGGCGAAGGCAGCUACCUGGACCAACACUGACGCUGAGGCACGAAAGCGUGGGGAGCAAACAGG
rnacentral:rRNA from 1 species